rnacentral:rRNA from 1 species
UACGGGGGGGGCAAGCGUUGUUCGGAAUUACUGGGCGUAAAGGGCCAGUAGGCGGCCAACUAAGUCCGACGUGAAAUCCCAAGGCUUAACCUUGGAACUGCGUCGGAUACUGGAUGGCUUGAAUUCGGGAGAGGGAUGCAGAAUUCCAGGUGUAGCGGUGAAAUGCGUAGAUAUCUGGAGGAAUACCGGUGGCGAAGGCGGGUUGCUGGGCUGACACUGACGCUGAUUGUGCGAAAGCUAGGGGAGCGAACGGG